rnacentral:rRNA from 1 species
CUUCUCCUAAAGACUAAGCCAUGCAUGCCUCCGAAUAGAAGAGCAAGUCUCUCUGAAUCUGCGAACGGCUCCGCAUACCAGUUGUAAACCAUAGCAAGCAAGCUCGAUCGUCUUCCCCUCGUCCUCGUGCCCUCGCAAGGGGGCGUGGGGCAGGGGGGGCGGUCAGCUAACAGGGAUAUCCCUGGUAAUUCUGAGGCUAAUACAAGAAUAUACGGCCCGGCCCGACCUCGCAAGGGGAAGGGUGGGGGACGUGUGUCCAGGCACGCAAAAUAGCACCUGGGAGAGGCCACACGUNCGGACCGCCACACCAAACGGUUGCUCUCGUCUCCGACCUUUUUUGGACUCGCGAAAGCGACGCCCUUUUUAGCCAGGAGAUGGGUGCUACUGGGCGGCUCUUGCUGUGUGCUUCUGACCUAUCAACUAGAUGGCAGCGUAACGGACAUCCUAUGGUGACAACGGGUACAGAGGAUAAGGGUUUCGAUCCUGGAGAGUGGGCCUGAGAGAUUGCUCACACUUUAAGGAAGGCAGCAGGCGCGCAACGUUCCCAUUGGGCAAAGCUCGAGGGCGUUAGGGGACAUAUGAAUGCCUGCCUUUGGUGGGCAAUUCAAAUGGGACUGUUUUAAACAUCCUAUCGAGUAACAAUUAGAGGACAAGUCUGGUUGACGCACAAGCCAGUUGUUGGCUACGGGAAAAAGGGNNNCUUUUUCCCGUCGGUUGGCAGAAAGCCGGGGAUAAGCUCCUGGUUGUACACGCGUAAACUGAUCGGGGAACACUGGGAAAGGAUUCAUGUACCGCGGCCGUGAGAGGAAAUACAUAACUCGACGGUGCAGCAGGUGGCGUAAUGGUCACCGGAUGGUAAAAACCAUGGAUUCGGGCGUGGUACCUCACCACAAGCACUUUAAUGGGCAGCCACCUCAGUCAAUCCGCAGCCAAGCCCGCUAUACCCCACCACCCCAACACCCCCUACGGGGGGGGGGAAGGGAGGAGGGGAGUGCGGGAAGGUUCAGAGACUAUAAUCGUGUGGGGGCUCCGGCUCUUAAGGUAUAGUCCACUCCCCCCAGCGAUGGGGCCGGCAAGAGUAGGGACGCUCGUCCUGAGGGUAGCUGGGUUUUUAGAUGCCAGGACCAAGAAUGCCUGGCGGAGAAUGGUAUAAAGGGCCAGCACCCGCGGUAAUUCCAGCUCUAAUAGCAUACGUUAAAGUUGUUGCGGUUAAAACGCUCGUAGUCGGCAACAGAUCGUCGGUAACCUCGAUUCGGGACCCUGGGCCAGCUGUUUCUUUCUCGGAACGCGCCAGCUACUGAUGACGGGAGACGUCGGUCAACUGCGCCCCAGGCUGUCUUCUUGGCCUCCCAAGACCAAGACUCCCCACCCCCCUCGGGGGGAGGGGGGUCCUUGGGAUCAAAGGCCAUUUUGUCACAGGGACGCCCGUGUACACGUUGGGCAAAAGCAGGGUGGGUGGCGAAGCAAAACGUGGAGCCUUCGGGUCCCGCAAUUUCUUCCCUUCGCUCGCGGCUCAAUGGUCGUUAAUCGGGCGGCUCGGCUUGGGGCGCCCAUCACCAUGAUCAAACCGUAGUGAUCGAGGCACGUCGCAAGACGGGCACGGCACAGCAUGGGAUGAAAAUAACCGGGCUCGCUUCGUUUUGCGGGAGCAGAGACCUGGUAAACGCGAAAGGGAUGUUCGAGGGUGACCGAAUUGCUGGGCGAGUGGUGAAAUACGGUGACCCUAGCAAGUCGACCAAAGGCGAAAGCAGUCAUCAAGGGCAUACCCGUUGAUCAAGAGCGAAAGUUAAGGGUUCGAAGACGAUCAGAUACCGUCGUAGUCUUAACUAUAAACGAUACAGACCAGGGAUAGGACAGUGUCCAUCUCGACUCCUCCCGGACCUUGAAGAAAUCAUGAGUCUUUGGGUUCUGGGGGGAGUAUGGUCGCAAGGCUGAAACUUAAAGGAAUUGACGGAAGGGCACACAAAGAGUGGAACCUGCGGCUUAAUUUGACUCAACACGGGAAAACUCACCAGGUCCAGAUACACGUAUGAAAGUCAAGCUGAAAGACUUUACUCAAUGAUGUAAGUGGUGGUGCAUGGUCGUUCUUAGUUCGUGGAUUGAUUUGUCUGGUCUAUUCCGAUAACGAGCGAGACCCCGACGUUCCUAAUAGGGGCGGCAGCCAAGCCGGCCGCAAGGCCGGUUAGCUCGCUGCUUAGAAGUUUUACUUCUUAGACGUAUCAGGGCCGAUAAGGUCCUUGAAAUGGGUUAAUAACAGGUCAGUCAUGCCCUUAGAUGUUCUGGGCCGCACGCGCGUUACAAUAGCAUGUAAAACGNGUGCUUGAAUAAGGCGUCUCCGGGGCCGAAAGGUCCCGGUAACCCUUAGUCCUUGCUUUGACUGGGACAGAUCUUUGCAACUAUUGGUCUCUAACGAGGAAUUUUUAGUAAUCGUAGGUCAUUAACCUGCGUUGAAUGCGUCCCUGCCCUUUGUACACACCGCCCGUCGCUGCUACCGAUUGGGUUUCGCAGUUACGCGUUCGGAGGAUGGUGCCCUUUUUUCCCGUGUCCCUUCACUGGGGUGCGGGGGGGGCGUCGUCCGAAGUUCUAACUACUGCGCGGCCUAGAGGAAGCAGAAGUCGUAACAAGGUAAUCGUAGGUGAACCUGCGUUUUGG